GCGCGGGUGGCGAAAUUUAGAAAACGCACUACCUUGAGGUGGUAGCGCCCGUAAGGGCUUGGAGGUGCAAGUCCUCUCCCGCGCA
rnacentral:tRNA from 1 species